rnacentral:rRNA from 1 species
CGGGACGGGUGAGUAAUGUCUGGGAAACUGCCUGAUGGAGGGGGAUAACUACUGGAAACGGUAGCUAAUACCGCAUAACGUCGCAAGACCAAAGAGGGGACCUUCGGGCCUCUUGCCAUCGGAUGUGCCCAGAUGGGAUUAGCUAGUAGGUGGGGUAACGGCUCACCUAGGCGACGAUCCCUAGCUGGUCUGAGAGGAUGACCAGCCACAUGGAACUGAGACACGGUCCAG